rnacentral:rRNA from 1 species
GACGAACGCUGGCGGCGUGCCUAAUACAUGCAAGUAGAACGCUGAAGGAGGAGCUUGCUUCUCUGGAUGAGUUGCGAACGGGUGAGUAACGCGUAGGUAACCGGCCUGGUAGCGGGGGAUAACUAUUGGAAACGAUAGCUAAUACCGCAUAAUAGCAGUUAUUGCAUGAUAACUGUUUGAAAGGUGCAAUUGCACCACUACCAGAUGGGCCUGCGUUGUAUUAGCUAGUUGGUGGGGUAACGGCUCACCAAGGCGACGAUACAUAGCCGACCUGAGAGGGUGAUCGGCCACACUGGGACUGAGACACGGCCCAGACUCCUACAGGAGGCAGCAGUAGGGAAUUUCGGCAAUGGACGGAAGUCUGACCGAGCAACGCCGCGUGAGUGAAGAAGGUUUUCGGAUCGUAAAGCUCUGUUGUAAGAGAAGAACGAGUGUGAGAGUGGAAAGUCAC